UACGUAGGGGGCUAGCGUUGCUCGGAUUGACUGGGCGUAAAGGGCGCGUAGGCGGUUCGUACAGUCAGACGUGAAAUUCCUGGGCUCAACCUGGGGGCUGCGUUUGAUACGUGCGGACUUGAGUGCGGAAGAGGGGUCGUGGAAUUCCCAGUGUAGAGGUGAAAUUCGUAGAUAUUGGGAAGAACACCGGUGGCGAAGGCGGCGACCUGGUCCGAUACUGACGCUGAGGCGCGAAAGCGUGGGGAGCAAACAGG
rnacentral:rRNA from 1 species